CAGGUAAUUAUUUGUCAUUCAACUUAAGCACUCAAAGUAACAAACUAUAAGAAAUGGCAUUCAAGUCUUGGAUCAUUCCGGGGUUACUAAUUGUUCUAAUGACCGUUUCGAUUUUGGAAGUUCACAGUCAAGGACUGAAUCAUCCAUGUGAGCUCCCAGGUGGUUUAAUUGUCCCAGCGACUAUUUGCCAAGUAAAAUGUGAUGAUUUUAGUAUGUCACACGGAAGUUGCGAUCGAGGCUUGAAGUGUUGCUCUAACAAGUAGUGGUUUCAUCACAAAGAACUAGUUUUGGCGAUUCAAAUUUGGUCGAAAAUUAAAAAGGACUACAAUACAGCAGAAGUCAUACUCCAAAUCAGUUUAUAACCAACUUUCGUCUCCGAAUAAAUAAAAAUCACAAAUUUA